GGCAGUUGCCAUGACUCUCCUCUCCGGGACAGACCCAGGUUAGGAUCUUUCCCGGUUCUUCUUGAAUCCAAGAAAGAUGUCUUACAGCUUUCCGUCUUGAAGAGCAAAGCCUUGACGUACCAGCCUUGACCUUGGGUCUGGGGCGGCCCUCCACCUGGUGAUGCUGUCUCCAGAUGGGAGGCAAACCAAGGUUUUCCUGAUAUGAGGUGUUUUGACUAUAUGGAUAUAAGCAGACAACAUGUGUGUCUGAUCCCUGUGGAGGCCAGACGAGGAAGUCAGAUCCCCUGGAACUGGAAAGCUACCAUGUGGGUGCUGGAGACUAAACUGAGGUCCUCUGAAACAUCAGUUUGUGCUCCUAACUGCUGAGUCAUCUCUUCAGCUUCUUGGUGUUAUUUGUUUUGAACCCAAUUCUGACUGGAUUAUUCUCUGAACAAGCAUUAUCUAUCAAAGUCUACUCCCACCUCUAAGUGUAGUGUUAGCACACACAUCUUUGUAUGUGCCCCAAAUCAGGUGUUUUCUUGUAGAAACAUUGUGUCUUUUGGAGGACAUGAUCGUAAACACCUUUAAAAAGAGAACAGUCUCUCAGGACUGGGCUCAUCCCAGAAGAAUGGAGUCAUGUAGGAUUGCCUUUGGGUGACUGGCUCAGUUUAUUAAUACAGCUUCUCUGAGAAGCACUGACUCCCCAUGCAGGGGAUUUCAGAGUGGAAUGGAAGUUUGGCCUCUCUGAUUUUCUUUAUUUCUCUUUAACUCCAGGCCAGACUCCUGCUUGACCCUUUGUAGGCAUGCUCAUUCAAGAAAUGCCUGCCUAAGAGGGUGCCUGAACCGGCCUUGGCCUAUAACCAUACUGAUGAAGAUUUUGCCUAUCACCAUAGAUCCUUCAUCCGACGAUGGAUGGCGAUACAGAUGGA